AUGGAGGAAUGCCAUAAUGUCAUCUUUUGGAAAGAGGGAGAGAGUGGUCUUUUGAAUCUGACCACAGAAGAAAAGACUGAAAAGAACAUGCCUGUACCUAUUUUCCAAGAUUUCUUUUGUCCUACAGUUCACUGGCUCCAAGGUGUCGGAACAGGAAACUAUGAUGUUGAAGGGCAUGUUUUCAGUUAUAAGGGAACCAGAAAACCACUAAGGUAUUUCUCUACUUUCACUUUAACUGAUGUUAUCUCUAUUUCUAUUUGUCUUAACCUUAGCUUGGAGAGUUAUUAGGUAGUCGUCCUGAAUUCUUCAUAAUUCCUUUUAAAGAAAGUUGACCAUAUUUUAAACUCUAUAGUUUCUGGAAAUUAAAUGCCAAGUUAUAUUUCCAUACAGUUCACAUAGAAUCUGGAGAACUAUAAUAAAUUAAGGGUGAGUGAAAAUGUGAAUUCA
rnacentral:lncRNA from 1 species